rnacentral:lncRNA from 1 species
UUUUCUUGGAAAUAUCAAAAAGUAUUUUCGAGGCUUCAAAAGCCUCUCUAUCACUAUCAAUAGAAGCCUCGCGAUCUUCAUUAACAUGGUCAAGGAAUUCUAGGGUAGUCCCAGAUGAUAAAGGAUGAUGCGGUUGCGUCGCAAAGAGCUGAAAUCCAUUUAACGAAGAAGCUGCAUAGGGGACGGAUCCCUAGGUCUAAAACCUCCAACUCUAGAGUCCUGAGAAAUUUUUUGGGAAUU